GCGCAGUGGUGUUGUUUAUGACAAUGGCACACCUGAAACCGGCGCCAUCUUAGAGUUGGCUUCCUACAAAAACCUGCUCACUGGAUACUUACUAAGAUUACCAUCUUUGGUUGUCUCAACCUUGUGAAGAGGGUGACAUGUCAAUCAACUCUGUUUCCCAGGAAGAAUGAGCAAACAGCGGCGGCUCCCUGGCCUCAGAGCCACUGCCUGGUGUCUGGCACCCAGAGGCUUCCCGGGCCGACCUUGUGGAGAAAGGCCAACAGGGAGAAAGCCACAGCCAAAGGAACACACAGAACCUGUUCCACGCGCAGACGCCAGAGCGGCAGCCAUUGGCGUUCGGUGCGAGCCUGUCCAGCCGCCCUGUGCUCCAUCACGCACACUACAAUGAAAUUCAAGGAGAGGGCUGUGAAGCAAUCCUUCCCGGUCCUGAAAAUCACAGCGCGCUGCUGGAAGCGAUGCUAAACCCUUUGCAGCACACCCGGGCACAUUCAUCAGAGAGGCAGCUGAGCCAAUUGAGGUGACUGUGCUGUCCGUUUGCCUUCCCAGAGAUGCUCAAAACCAAACCGAACUGGCAGCGAGCUGGCUUCGCGGGUCCACGCGGGACAGCAGCCAGGCCAGGCGUCCAGUGACAGAGCAGGUUGGCCGCCCAGCCUCCCAAUUCACUGGCUCCUCUGGCGACGCAGAGCAUAGUUCUGAGGGAUAAAAGGAGAUCUCAAGCAGAAAAGGAGAUUACAAAUCAGAAUGAUUCAACAACAAUAACCGAAAAAAUAAACCCUGGCAGGCACGGCACUGGGGCCUGGUGAAUGCCAGGUUGGCCCCCUUGGCUCGUGCUCCCACCAGUAGCAAAGCGAAUUACCACCGAGUUUCCUAAAUCCUAAGGGCUCUGACCGCAGGAUAGCAAACUGCAUUUCAAUGUGAAAAGCUGUUGCUGACUGAGCCAGGCUGGCAGGCCUGAAAACACCUUUUACUUACAAAAAAACAUGUUUGGAAAAUGCAGCUGUUUGCCUGCUAAGUUAUACUACUUUGUAACAGACAGGAAGGAAAACAACAACCUCAUACCAAUAAAUUCCAUCCAUCUUUCCCAC
rnacentral:lncRNA from 1 species